UACGGAGGGUGCGAGCGUUGUCCGGAAUCACUGGGCGUAAAGGGCGCGUAGGCGGCCCGCGCAAGCGUGCGGUGAAAGCCCGGGGCUCAACCCCGGGUCGGCCGUGCGGACUGCGGGGCUCGAGCACUGUAGGGGCAGAUGGAAUUCCGGGUGUAGCGGUGGAAUGCGUAGAGAUCCGGAGGAAUACCGGUGGCGAAAGCGACUCUCUGGACGGCAACUGACGCUGAGGCACGAAAGCGUGGGGAGCAAACAGG
rnacentral:rRNA from 1 species